rnacentral:rRNA from 1 species
UACGAAGGGGGCUAGCGUUGCUCGGAAUUACUGGGCGUAAAGGGCGCGUAGGCGGAUAUUUAAGUUAGAGGUGAAAGCCCAGGGCUCAACCCUGGAAUAGCCUUUAAUACUGGAUAUCUUGAGUUCGGGAGAGGUGAGUGGAACUCCGAGUGUAGAGGUGAAAUUCGUAGAUAUUCGGAAGAACACCAGUGGCGAAGGCGACUCACUGGCCCGGUACUGACGCUGAGGUGCGAAAGCGUGGGGAGCAAACAGG